rnacentral:rRNA from 1 species
CCUACGGGCGGCAGCAGUGAGGAAUAUUGGUCAAUGGACGAGAGUCUGAACCAGCCAAGUAGCGUGAAGGAUGACUGCCCUAUGGGUUGUAAACUUCUUUUAUAUGGGAAUAAAAUGUUCCACGUGUGGGAGUUUGUAUGUACCAUAUGAAUAAGGAUCGGCUAACUCCGUGCCAGCAGCCGCGGUAAUACGGAGGAUCCGAGCGUUAUCCGGAUUUAUUGGGUUUAAAGGGAGCGUAGGUGGAUUGUUAAGUCAGUUGUGAAAGUUUGCGGCUCAACCGUAAAAUUGCAGUUGAAACUGGCAGUCUUGAGUACAGUAGAGGUGGGCGGAAUUCGUGGUGUAGCGGUGAAAUGCUUAGAGAUCACGAAGAACUCCGAUUGCGAAGGCAGCUCACUGGACUGCAACUGACACUGAGGCUCGAAAGUGUGGGUAUCAAACAGGAUUAGAUACCCCAGUAGUC